CCAUCGCUAAACGAACUCAAACUGAAUAAGUCUUGCAGAAUUUAUUACCAUCUAACAAUUGGCGGUAAGGUUAUAUUUAAGCAAUUUGCAUUCGAAUACACAUCAUUUUACACAUGCAACAGACGAUUGGCUAUGAUUAAAACGAAUGAAUGUGACUUGUUCACUCAAGGUCACACGCAAUAAUGCCACCCCUCAUGCCGCCAUAACACACCCUCGGUGGGGGUAAGCGCAUUGUGUUGCGAUCUUGGCGGCCUUUGCCACCCCUUCAGACGCCAUGUUUGCCAUGACACGGACAUUUUUCUAAAGUGAUGAUUAACGGAAUUGAAUAGAGAGGAAGUGCUGGGCUUAAUUGUGUGUUAUAUUUCGUUGUGUUAUAUAAUUUACUAUUUUUCAUCUGCCGACAAGGUUAUGACUCUGAAUGGGAGGUUUAUUUUUUCUAAUAUAAAAAAAUUAAUGAAUUAAUGAAAAGUGUGAAUUAUUUUAAAAUGCGUCAAUGGGGCUAUUGUCGCCAACAAAUGGUAUAAAAGUGGCGUUUGGGUGGUACUGACGCAAACACACAACGAGAUGAAGCUUGUACUUUGCACUUUACUUGUAAUGUGCCUAAUUUUGGUUGAGGCUAGACCUCAUCACCGGGAUGAUCAUCCGUCCUUGACGAGAGGUGGUGCUCAAAAUCGGGGGGCUAACUGUCAUGGCAGACAUGGGGGAAGAGGCGGCGGCGGCGAAACUACUACAGCAGCGGCAGAUACCACUACCACAGCAGCUACAACAACAGCAGCGGCUCGUUAAUGAGAUUAUCACUAUAAAAAUUAAUGGCUAAUAAGAACAUGGUGUAUAUGAUGUAAACAAAUAUAGGAUACUAGAGACAUUUCCGUUUUUCUCUAUAAAAGCCCCUCCAUAGCAUUUCCUUGACAUACAGCAAGUAUGUUUUCUGUCCCAGCUAUAUUUAUAGUGUUAAUGGGGUGGGAGGUGCUACAAGUCAAACCUCACCCUCUUUCUGCUGUUAAUGGAAACAUGGGAAAGGACGUAGUGGGAGUGGCUAAGAAUGGAGAAAAAGGUCAUGUAUUGGAAGUUGCUGGUAAGGGUGCCAGUUGUUUUGGGAUGGGACCUAAUGGCAGAGGUGGAGUUGGAGCAACAACACCAGCGCCUGUGGAAGUAUAAUACACUAGGAAGAAACAUGUUUUAAAUGGUUUAAUAAAAAAUAAUUACACGCA